CUUGAUCAAUUAUAAGAGGUCAAGCCUGCCCAGUGACAUUGUUCAACGGCCGCGGUAUCCUAACCGUGCGAAGGUAGCGUAAUCACUUGUCCUUUAAAUAAGGACUAGUAUGAACGGCUUCACGAAGGCUAUACUGUCUCCUUAAUCUAAUCAAUUAAACUAAUCUCCCCGUGAAGAAGCGGGGAUUCGUCUAUAAGACGAGAAGACCCUAUGGAGCUUUAAACAUCUAAGACACUUGAUUUUACCCACUAAACUUCAUGUAACCUAUCAUUUUGUCUUAAGUUUUAGGUUGGGGUGACCACGGAGAAAAAUUAAACCUCCACGUAGAAAGAAAAUUCUUUUCUAAGCAAAGAGCCACAUCUUAACGCAUCAACAUAUUGACUUAAAUUGACCCA
rnacentral:rRNA from 1 species